CCGCUCCAGUUACCGCUAUCGUCAAGUACUGGUUGGGUGGCCCAGACCCCUUGGACUAUGUUAGCAUGUACAGGAAUGUGGGGAGCCCUUCUGCUAACAUCCCUGAGCACUGGCACUACAUCAGCUUCGGCCUGAGUGAUCUCUAUGGCGACAACAGAGUCCAUGAGAAACCCUUUGCUCACUGAAAGCCCAGGACAGAGUUAAGCUGCCUGAAGUGUUGGGAGCCGGAAAAGUUUGUUUGGCUGGAUUCUCAGCUGAAUCAGGGCCGGGAGCCACUGUUUUUGAACUUGAGGAAUGCUGUGGGAACAUGGUCUUUGGCUCCCAGCAAGACAUCUCAGGAACCGUCUACUUGAGUGAGGCAAAUGCAUUCCAUGAAUCUGGUUGGAUGUUGUAUAGCGCAAAGAAAGCACCUUUAACCCAGAGUUGCAACUCAAAGGUGGCUGCUGCAACUACAUAACAUUUUUACAUGUUUCUCCAGUAAGAAUAUAAAUUGGACUCCCACCUCAGAGUGAGAGUGCAGUCUUGGCUGA